GGGGAAUCUUGCACAAUGGGGGCAACCCUGAUGCAGCGACGCCGCGUGAGCGAUGAAGCCCUUCGGGGCGUAAAGCUCUUUCGACCGGAACGAUAAUGACGGUACCGGGAGAAGAAGCUGCGGCUAACUACGUGCCAGCAGCCGCGGUAAUACGUAGGCAGCGAGCGUUGUUCGGAGUUACUGGGCGUAAAGGGUGUGUAGGCGGUUCUCUAAGUUUGGUGUGAAAUCUCCCGGCUUAACCGGGAGGGUGCGCCGAAAACUGGGGGGCUAGAGUGCGGGAAGGGAGAGUGGAAUUCCUGGUGUAGCGGUGAAAUGCGUAGAUAUCAGGAGGAACACCGGUGGUGUAGACGGCUCUCUGGACCGUAACUGACGCUGAGACACGAAAGCGUGGGUAGCAAACA
rnacentral:rRNA from 1 species